rnacentral:rRNA from 1 species
UACGUAGGGGGCAAGCGUUGUCCGGAAUCAUUGGGCGUAAAGCGCGUGUAGGCGGCUCGGUAAGUCUGCUGUGAAAGUCCAGGGCUCAACCCUGGAAUGCCGGUGGAAACUGUCGAGCUAGAGUCCGGAAGAGGCGAGUGGAAUUCCUGGUGUAGCGGUGAAAUGCGCAGAUAUCAGGAGGAACACCAAUGGCGAAGGCAGCUCGCUGGGACGGUACUGACGCUGAGACGCGAAAGCGUGGGGAGCAAGCAGG